UAAAAUAAUUAAGGGCACACAAAGGAUGCCUAGGUAGUAAGAGCCGAUGAAGGACGUGGUAAGCUGCGAUAAGCCUAGAUAAGUUGCAAUCGAACGUAAGAGUCUAGGAUUUCCGAAUGGAGCAAUCUAUUAAGAUGGAGUCUUAAUACGAAAGAGGGAACCGCGUGAACUGAAACAUCUAAGUAACGCGAGGAAAAGAAAGUAAAAACGAUACCCAAAGUAGCGGCGAGCGAAAUGGGUCAAGCCUAAACCUUAAAUAUGUCAAGGAUACAGCCGUUGUAUUUAAGGGGUUGAGGGACAGAGUAGUGAAGAACUGUAAGAUAUUCAAUAUAGUGUAUUGAUGAAUUGGAAUUGUCUGGAAAGGCGAACCGUAGAAGGUGAAAGUCCUGUACAAGUAAAUCCUUACACAUAUAACUCUGCUCCCAAGUAACAUGGAACACGAGGAAUUCUGUGUGAAUCUGUGAGGACCAUAUCUCAUAAGGCUAAAUACUCUUACUAACCGAUAGCGCAUAGUACCGUGAGGGAAAGGUGAAAAGAACCCCUGGAGGGGAGUGAAAUAGAACCUGAAAUUGUGUGCUUACAAGCGGUCAGAGCCAGUGAUGGUGAUGGCGUGCCUUUUGGAGAAUGAUCCUGCGAGUUACGUUAAACGGCGAGGUUAAGUAUAACGGAGCCGAAGGGAAACCAAGUCUUAAUAGGGCGAUUUAGUCGUUUGGCGUAGACGCGAAACCUGGUGAUCUAAACCUGUCCAGGAUGAAGCUGUGGUAAGACACAGUGGAGGUCCUAACCCACCGCCGUUGAAAAGUUGGGGGAUGAGGUAGGUUUAGGGGUGAAAAGCCAAUCGAACCAGGAGAUAGCUCGUUCUCUCCGAAAUGCAUCUAGGUGCAGCCUUGAGUGUUCAAUUAUGGGGGUAGAGCACUGAAUGAUCUAGGGGGCGUAUUGCUUACUGAAAUCAAUCAAACUCCGAAUACCAUAAUUUAGAGCUCAGGAGUGAGACUAUGGGAGUUAACUUCCAUUGUCGAAAGGGAAACAACCCAGACCACCAGCUAAGGUCCCUAAUUAUAACUAAGUGGGAAAGGAGGUGGAGAUUCACAAACAACUAGGAGGUUGGCUUAGAAGCAGCCAUACCUUUAAAGAGUGCGUAAUAGCUCACUAGUCGAGAGUCUCUGCGCCGACAAUGUAACGGGGCUAAGUUAUAAACCGAAGCUGUGGAAUCCGUAAGGAUUGGUAGGAGAGCGUUCUGUAGGCCGUUGAAGGAGAAGGGUAACCGACUCUGGAGGUAUCAGAAGUGAGAAUGCAGGAAUAAGUAGCGAGAAAGGGGGCGAGAAUCCCCCUCGCCGGAAGACCAAGGUUUUCAGGGUAAAGCUUGUCUUCCCUGAGUAAGCCGGGACCUAAGCCCAGGCUAUAAUGCGUAGGCGAAUGGAAAACAGAUUAAUAUUUCUGUGCCAGUCAUAUAUUGUGAUGGAGGGACGCAGAAGGGUAUGCGCGCGGACGAACGGAAGUGUCCGUAGAAGUAUGUAGGAUGACUUGAUAGGAAAAUCCAUUGAGUUAUAUCUGAGGUAUGAUAUACAGUCGUAAGAUGAAUGUGCAAAUCCCACGCUGCCAAGAAAAGCUUCUAACGUUAAUAUUUGACUGCCCGUACUGCAAACCGACACAGGUGGUCAGGAUGAGAAAUCUAAGGCGGACAGGCUAACUCUCGUUAAGGAACUCUGCAAAAUAACCUCGUAACUUCGGGAGAAGAGGAGCCCUUGAGGGUCAGUAUCCACGCGAUACAAAGCGCUCGAGGGUCGCAGUGAAGAGGCUCAAGCAACUGUUUAACAAAAACACAGGUCUAUGCUAAGCUGGAAGGCGAUGUAUAUGGGCUGACACCUGCCCAGUGCUGGAAGGUUAAGAGGAGGAGUGAGAGCUCCGAAUUGAAGCCCCAGUGAACGGCGGCCGUAACUAUAACGGUCCUAAGGUAGCGAAAUUCCUUGUCGGGUAAGUUCCGACC
rnacentral:rRNA from 1 species